rnacentral:rRNA from 1 species
CCUACGGGUGACAGCAGUGAGGAAUAUUGGUCAAUGGGCGGGAGCCUGAACCAGCCAAGUCGCGUGAGGGAUGAAGGUCCUGCGUAUCGUAAACCUCUUUUGUAAGGGAAUAAAGUGCGGGACUUGUCCCCUUUUGUGUGUACCUUAUGAAUAAGCAUCGGCUAACUCCGUGCCAGCAGCCGCGGUAAUACGGAGGAUCCGAGCGUUAUCCGGAUUUAUUGGGUUUAAAGGGUGCGUGGGCGGCCUGUAAAGUCAGCGGUAAAAGCCCGGGGCUCAACCGCGGAGGGCCGUUGAAACUGGCAGGCUGGAGUGGGUGAGAGGUAAGCGGAAUGCGCGGUGUAGCGGUGAAAUGCUUAGAUAUCGGGCAGAACCCCGGUUGCGAAGGCAGCGUACCGGCACAUGACUGACGCUGAGGCACGAAAGCGUGGGUAGCAAACAGGAUUAGAUACCCCAGUAGUC